rnacentral:rRNA from 1 species
AACGAACGCUGGCGGCAGGCCUAACACAUGCAAGUCGAGCGGACCUACCGGGGUCAGCGGCGGACGGGGGAGUAACGCGUGGGAAUAUGCACUUCUCUACGGAAUAGUCAUGGGAAACUGGGGGUAAUACCGUACAGGCGCUAAGGGGGAAAGAUCUAUCGGGGAAGGAUGUGCCCGAGUUGCAUUCGGUAGUUGGUUUGGUAAUGGAAUCCUAAGCGGACGAUCAAUAGCUGGGUAGAGAGAAUGAUCAGCAACACUGGGACGGGGACACGGCCCAGACUCCUACGGGAUGCAGCAGUGCGGAAUCGUAGACAACCGCGGCAACGAUGAUCGUGCCAGGCUGCGUGAGUUAUGUAGUCCUUAGGGUUGUAAAGCUCUUUCAGCUGGGAACAUAUUGACGGUACCAGCAGAAGAAGCCCCGGCUAACUCCGUG